rnacentral:lncRNA from 1 species
ACUGAGGCUUGGGGACCCUUUACGACUCUCGCAGCUCGACUCUUGCAGCUCGUGAGUCAAGGUCUAGGGGAUUAUGGGACACCACCUGGGGCUGACAGUGGGCCAGCAAGUCCUGCCAGCGGAUCAUCUUGGGAGACUCACCCAUUGAUUGGGAGUAAUGUCCUGGCUACUGACCACGACCCCAGCUAGUGUCAGAAGGCUGUGGCACAGAUAGCAGACCUGGAAAGGGAGAGAGAGAGAGAGAGAGUGAGAGCACAACAAGGAUGCUUCCUAACUCCUUCUGAGGCCAUGGGCUCCUGUCUUAGCCAGCAGCAGCAGCUUCCUGGAACACAUCUUCAAGGAGGGCCUCACUUCCUCAGAGCUGUGACUGUCCCAGUAGCCUGUACCCAGGACCCACAUUUCUUCUAAUUAUUGAUUGUCCUCAAAUGGCUUCUGAAAAAGAGAAUCCUUGCCACCCGGAAAGCCACACCACCCUAAGCCUUCUUCUGUGACUCCAGAAGCAGAAGCCCAGAGGGCCUGUGCACCCUUUCCUCUACACAACCUGUUUGCUAAGUCACCUAUACCUGUGGUCAGUAACUGAGGUGAUCCUAUCCCUUGAGCCACCUCUAGGUCCCCAUCUUGUAAAUGUGACCCAUAGUGGAUAAGCACCUGCACAAACCUAGGCACAGCACUGUUUAACAAUCAGCCCUGACGACAGACAGAAAGCUGGCAAGAGAAGGGGAGACCAGUAGAAGCAAUAUGCAUCGAAUAUCUGCAUGCCUUCUCCACCCAGUCCACCCUCACUGUCGCCACUGGGCACUUCAGAGAUAAAAACCAGGACAAAGGUCAUUUGGGAGGAACCGUACCUGGAAUCCCUAGCUUAGAAGCUAAAGCAAGAAGAUCACAAGUUUAAGGCCAGCCAAGGCUGCUGCAUAGAAAGAAAGCAUGUC